AUUGAACGCUGGCGGCAGGCCUAACACAUGCAAGUCGAACGGUAACAGGAAGACGCUUGCUUCUUUGCUGACGAGUGGCGGACGGGUGAGUAAUGUCUGGGAAACUGCCUGAUGGAGGGGGAUAACUACUGGAAACGGUAGCUAAUACCGCAUAACGUCGCAAGACCAAAGAGGGGGACCUUCGGGCCUCUUGCCAUCGGAUGUGCCCAGCUGGGAUUAGCUAGUAGGUGGGGUAACGGCUCACCUAGGCGACGAUCCCUAGCUGGUCUGAGAGGAUGACCAGCCACACGGGAACUGAGACACGGUCCAGACUCCUACGGGAGGCAGCAGUGGGGAAUAUUGCACAAUGGGCGCAAGCCUGAUGCAGCCAUGCCGCGGGUAUGAAGAAGGCCUUCGGGUUGUAAAGUACUUUCAGCGGGGAGGAAGGGAGUAAAGUUAAUACCUGUGCUCAUUGACGUUACCCGCAGAAGAAGCACCGGCGAACUCCGU
rnacentral:rRNA from 1 species